GUUUUCCUACGGGACGCAGCAGUAGGGAAUUUUCGUCAAUGGGCGCAAGCCUGAACGAGCAAUGCCGCGUGAACGAGGAAGGUCUUCGGAUCGUAAAGUUCUGUUGAAGGGGAAAAAGAGCGGAGAGAGGAAAUGCUUUCUGAUUGAUAUUACCCUUCGAGGAAGUCACGGCUAACUACGUGCCAGCAGCCGCGGUAAUACGUAGGUGGCGAGCGUUAUCCGGAAUGAUUGGGCGUAAAGGGUGCGUAGGCUGUUGUGUAAGUUGGGGGUGAAAUCCCACGGCUCAACCGUGGAACAGCCCUUGA
rnacentral:rRNA from 1 species